AAGGGCUAGCUCAUCGCCAAGCAUGAUGGAAGAUCAUUUGAAAGCUAUCAGCACAACUUUAGCACGAGUUGAGGAAAAGAUAGACCAACACGAAUAUGUAUCCCCUGAAACAACCAUGCUAUCAGAGCCUCCUCUCAAAAAAGCUAACUUUCAGACGGAUGGAGUCACUGUAACCAUCAAUGAAACUGUGUCAAUGCCACUCGAUCAGUGGCUGCACUGUCAAAGAGAAAAGAAAGAGAGUCUUUU